CGCGGCCUAUCAGCUUGUUGGUGGGGUAACGGCCUACCAAGGCAUCGACGGGUAGCUGGUCUGAGAGGACGAUCAGCCACACUGGGACUGAGACACGGCCCAGACUCCUACGGGAGGCAGCAGUGGGGAAUAUUGCGCAAUGGGCGAAAGCCUGACGCAGCAACGCCGCGUGGGGGAUGACGGCUUUCGGGUUGUAAACCCCUUUCAGUGAUGACGAAAAUGACGGUAAUCACAGAAGAAGCCCCGGCCAACUACGUGCCAGCAGCCGCGGUAACACGUAGGGGGCGAGCGUUGUCCGGAUUUAUUGGGCGUAAAGAGCUCGUAGGCGGUUGCGUAAGUCGGAUGUGAAAACUCAGGGCUCAACCCUGAGCCGCCAUCCGAUACUGCGCUGACUAGAGUCCGGUAGGGGAGCAUGGAAUUCCUGGUGUAGCGGUGAAAUGCACAGAUAUCAGGAGGAACACCAGUAGCGAAGGCGGUGCUCUGGGCCGGUACUGACGCUGAGGAGCGAAAGCAUGGGUAGCAAACAGGAUUAGAUACCCUGGUAGUCCAUGCCGUAAACGUUGGGCACUAGGUGUGGGACCUACUUAACGGGUUCCGUGCCGUAGCUAACGCAUUAAGUGCCCCGCCUGGGGAGUACGG
rnacentral:rRNA from 1 species